ensembl:rRNA 5S_rRNA 5S ribosomal RNA
GUCUACAGCCAUACCACUCUGAACACGCCCGAUCUCAUCUGAUUUCAGAAGCUAAGCAGGGUCAGGCCUGGUUAGUACUUGGUUGGAAGAAAAUUGAUACGGAUAGAUCUGAGAAGAUGGUUUAGUAGGUA